AGUCAUAGAUCUGAGCAUGAGAACAUCAACCAUGGAGAGUCCUUCUUCAAACUCAGUCCAAAGACUCCUCAUCUUCCUUCUGUGUCUCCUGCUUCUUCAUCACCCUUCACUGGCUUACUCCCUGAAAAACUGCACCUUUGAUUUUACUGAGGGUGCCUUGGAAGUUUGUCUUGAUUGCUCUCUCCGUCAUCUUGUCUCUGUCCCUGAUGACAUCCCCAGAGAUGCAUACUCACUACAACUCUCAAAAAAUCGGAUCAAGCAGAUCAGAAAGAAUGAUUUCAGGAACAUGUCAAAACUAGGUUUUCUGAGCCUGGACGGUAAUUCAAUUGCUCACAUAGAUGAAGGAUCUUUCGUCGACUUGGUGUCACUGAAAAAACUCCAGAUAGCUGAAAAUCAUCUCACACAUCUGGCAAGAAACGUCUUCCAGGGACUGUCAAACCUUGUUUUGCUGAACCUCUAUGGAAACGAAAUUGCUUUUAUUCAUAACUCAGCCUUUGACUUCCUGACCAGAUUACAAACUGUCAUCCUAGACUUCAACAAGUUAAAAAAGGUCACUGACAUACAGCCGAUUCUGAAUCUACCCAACAUAGAGAAACUGAGCAUUAAUUAUAACCUGUUCUCCACCUUUGAGUCCAAAGAUCUGAAUCUGAACGUGUCCUCAAGCCUGAGAGAGUUAGAUGUUGAAGGUAAUGACCUCAGCAGAUUCAGCAUCACAACACCUAUCUUCCCUCAUCUUCAGGAAAUCAACCUUUGCCCAUGUGGUCAGUUAUCUCCAUUUCAAUGGGACAUCCCUGAUAAGUCUUUACUGAGGAACAUAACUCAACUAGGUUUCAGUGACUCGAAUGCUUUUGAAGAAAUCCGAAAAGUCUUGCAGAGUCUCGACUCACUACAACGAUUAAAACUUAAUUCUAUGAGGGGACUGAUGAGCAAAGAACUAUUGGCCUCUAUCUGCAGAAUACCAACACUUGAGAGCCUGGAUCUGUCUUUCAACAGAGAUGCAAACUUGAGUGCCAAACUUGGAGUUUGCUCUCAGCUCGAGGAGCUUGACUUGAGUGACACUUGGACGUCUUACAUAUCAAAAGGCUCAGUGGCAAUGAUGAAGCAGCUAAGGUCCUUAGAUCUCGAGAACAAUUUUCUUACCAAAGUGCCAGAGGACAUCAGAAGCCUCUCCUCCCUCAGGGUCCUAAAUCUUCAAUUAAACCAAAUCUCUGAGUUGAGCUGUGAGGAUUUUAAAAACACAUCCCGUCUCACUGAGCUCUCUCUAAACAACAACCGUAUUGUCAAACUGGACUGGUGCACCUUCAAAAAUCUUAACAGCCUUGAGGUUUUAGAUUUGAGUAAUAAUCUGCUGCCGACGUUCGGAGGGGCUUUCAAGUUAAACCUGGACAACCUUAAUAUCCUGAUUUUGAAAAAUCAUGUUGUACAUCGUCUUGAAACAGGUGAGUUUGAGGGUUUAGUGUCCCUUAAACAAAUGGAUUUAAAAUCUAAUGCAUUUUCAAAGCCAGACGUUGGCGCAUUUGAUGGUUUGCACAACCUGACUAGACUAACUGUAUCUCUUCCGUGUGAUUUCUAUUGCAACUUUCGGGAUUUAGACCAAAUAGAAAACCUGACAAUAAUCAUUCCUUUUAAACCGUUUUGCCAAAGUCAUCAUGAAAGCCUCAAGAAAACUGUCUUUGAUUUAAAAUCACUGAAAAGGCUCCACUUGUUUUCUUAUGGUGAUCACGAUGAAUUUACCAAUCCAGCUAAUGUAGGGAUGAUUCAGUCUGCAAAACUUUUAGAGGAAUUCACAGCUGAGAACAUUUUCUUUUCAUUACCAACUCCAGAGACUUUUCAAUCCAAUUCCCAGCUAAGAAGUUUGGCAAUCACACAGAGUGAUCUUUCUGAUUUGGGUUCUGAACUGUUCUGGCCAAUCCCACACCUGCAAGCACUGGAUCUUUCUAAGAGUAGCCUGAAGUCUUUGGAUUUUUUGGCCCAGGCCAACCUGUCUGCACUCAAAUAUUUGCAUCUCGGUGACAAUGGUAUAACAGUCAUCGAUGAGACCAUCUUCCAGUCUCUCCCUGCUCUUGUUUACCUCGACCUGACUAACAACCCUUUGGCUUGUGACUGCUCUAAUGCUGGCUUCAUCCAAUGGGUGAAGAGCAACAACCAAACUCUGGUGAAUGGCGCCCAUGAUUACAUCUGUUCCUUUCCUCUGAUCAAACAGGGAACCAAGGUGUUGGACUUUGAUGUCCAGUCCUGUUGGAUGGACGUUGGCUUCCUCUGCUAUAUCUCCAGCUCUUGUCUGGUUGUGUUAACUCUCCUCACCUCUUUCAUCUACCACUUCCUGAGGUGGCAGAUGGUCUAUGCCUUCAACCUCUUCCAGGCCUUCCUUUAUGACAGCAGGAAGAGGAGGAGAGGAGCUCCUCACCUCUACGAUGCCUUCAUCUCCUACAAUGUUGAGGAUGAGGCCUGGGUCUACAGAGAGAUGCUUCCAGUGCUGGAGGGAGAGCAGGGCUGGAGACUGUGUCUGCACCACAGAGACUUCCAACCAGGUAAACCUAUCAUAGAGAACAUCACAGACGCCAUCUACAGCUGCAGGAAGACCAUCUGUGUGAUCAGCCAGAGCUACCUGCAGAGCGAGUGGUGCUCCAGAGAGAUCCAGAUGGCCAGUUUCCGUCUGUUUGAUGAGAAGAAGGACGUGUUGAUCCUGCUGUUACUGGAGGAGAUCCCCUCUCAUCAGCUGUCUCCGUACCACCGCAUGAGGAAGCUGGUGAAGAAACGCACCUACCUGAGCUGGCUGCAGGCCGGACGACACAAGGGAGUCUUCUGGCAGAACGUCCAGAGGGCUCUGGAGACGGGAGAGUCCGCCAGAGAUAUGAAUCUUCUGACUGGACUAGAGGGAUGCUGAGAACAUACCUGAACCUGUGAGCUGAAAAACAGGAGAAUUUAAAAGUUGCAUAUUAUACAAAGAUGUUAAGGCACAAUGGAAAACAGAAUACAUGGAAGUUUGAGUUAACUUUUAAAACUUUUUCAUUACACAAGAACUUGCUGAAUCACAUAAUCAAUUACAACUUGCAGAAUAAUCAAAAAUCAGGUCUGCCUUAUGCCAGACUUGUUUAAAAUCUUUAUUAAUCAUACACAGAAUCUCAUUGCUCCUAAUAUCCAUAGAAAGGCACAUCAUAACAGCAUUUUCAUGUUGUUUAUGUGCGUCACCCUUAAUGUGUGAAGGCGUCUACAAGACCUCUGCUCGUCAGAUUUUCAGCAUUUUGUUUUGGAUGUGAAUGAUUCCGGUUAACCAGGCUGUUCACACUGAGAGUGGAUAGCUGUAGAUUAUUGAAAUCAAAAUCACUGACUCUGUUAAAAGCAUGAAUUUGGUUUUGUUGACAUCAGGGAUAAAUGUAUUCUGUCUUACAAUGCAAGCUGCAGUUUCUUUAUCUGUUGAUGUAGAUUUUUGAGAUGGGAUCCAGAGAUCUUUGUGGUCCACCUUCUGUGGAAAGGGUCAAAAAAGGAAGUGAAAUCACUGCACUUCCUCUGCUGCCAACGUGGGCGUACAGAGUGAAAACCAUCUGAAGGGUCAGUGCUGAUCCGACUGCUGAGACAUGAGGAACAAACUCAGAACUCUGACUCAGGACUCCUCACCAUCCUCAUCCUCCUUGAUCUGAGUCUGGCCUUUGACACCAUUUCUCAUCACAUCCUCCUGGACAACCUGGCUUCAAUCAGGAUUACAAACACACCUCUGCACUGGUUUAAAUCAUAUCUCUCUGGCUGCACUCAGUUCAUAAAACUCAAAUCAUUCAAACCCCACUCCUUUCCUGUCUCUUCCGGUGUUCCCCAGGGUUCUGUUCUUGGCCGCCUUCUCUUCAUUAUCUACAUACUUCCUCCAGGCCAUAUUUUCCGUAAAAACAGCAGUAAUUUCCACUGCUACGCGGAUGACACCCAGCACUGCCUUUCCACCAAACCCAACUCCACCCUCCCUUCCUCCUCCAUCUGUGAAUGCCUACAGGAAAUCAAAUCCUGGUUCUCUCACAACUUUCUAAAACUCAACAGUGAUACAACUGAAGUUCUUCUUAUUGGUACUAAAGCCACUUUAACCAAAUCUGACAGUUUUUCCCUCACAAUUGAUCAUUUCAUAGUUUGUCCCUCCCCUCAGGUUAAGAGUCUGGGUGUCAUCCUCGAAAGCACACUAUCUUUCCAACCUCACAUCAAUAACCUUACUAGGUCUGCUUAAUUCCAUCUAUGCAAUAUUAAUCUCCUUCAUCCAUCCCUCACUCUAACCUCUGCUCACUUCCCAGAUCGACUAUUGCAACUCCCUCCUCUUUGGUCUCCCCCAGAAAUCCCUCCACAAACUUCAGUUAGGCCAAAAUUCUGCUGCCCACAUCAUUUCCAGAACCCCAUCCAGGAAUCACAUCACUCCAGUUCUUCAGCAGCUACACUGGCUCCUGGUCAGCUACCGCUUUAACUUUAAGAUUCUGCUCCUGACCUUCAAAGCAUCCAUAACCUCAUCUCUCCAUACUUUUCUGACCUCCUUCACAUCAGCACCCCCUCUCACAUUCUCAGGCCUUCUUCCUCUUUCCACCUUACAGUCCCACCCGCCCGCUUGACCACCAUGGGCUCCAGAGUCUUCAGUUGCUCUGCUCCCAGACUUUGGAACUCCCUCCUUCCAGACAUCCUUAAUAUUAACUCACUCUCCAUUUUCAAAUCCAGUCUUAAAACUCAUCUUUUCAGACUGUCAUGUUCUGUCUGACUGAUGUCUUUCAGUCAACCUUCACUGUUUCAUUAAUUGUUUUCACUUAUUGCUAACUUGUGUGUAUUUAGUGGACUUAUUUAUUUAUUUUGUUUUAAACUUUUCUUGUUAGGUGACCUUGAGUGCUUUGAAAGGCGCCUAUAAAUAAAAAGUAUUAUUAUUAUUAUUAUUAUUAUUAUUAUUAUUAUAAGAGACUCC